CCUACGGGGGGCUGCAAUUAGGAAUCUUGCACAAUGGACGAAAGUCUGAUGCAGCGACGCCGCGUGAGUGAUGAAGUAUUUCGGUAUGUAAAACUCUGUCCUAUGGGGAAGAAGAAUGUGACGGUACCCAUAGAGAAAGCCCCGGCUAACUACGUGCCAGCAGCCGCGGUAAUACGUAGGGGGCGAGCGUUGUCCGAAUUUAUUGGGCGUAAAGCGCGUGUAGGCGGCUCUUUAAGUCAGAUGUGAAAUCCUGCGGCUCAACCGCAGAACUGCAUUUGAUACUGGAGGGCUUGAGUGUGGGAGAGGAAAGUGGAAUUCCUGGUGUAGCGGUGAAAUGCGUAGAUAUCAGGAGGAACACCCGUGGCGAAGGCGGCUUUCUGGCCCACCACUGACGCUGAGACGCGAAGGCUAGGGGAGCGAACG
rnacentral:rRNA from 1 species